rnacentral:rRNA from 1 species
UACGUAUGGUGCAAGCGUUAUCCGGAUUUACUGGGUGUAAAGGGAGCGUAGGCGGCGCGUUAAGUCUGAUGUGAAAACCCGAGGCUCAACCACGGGAGUGCAUUGGAAACUGGCGUGCUGGAGUGCCGGAGAGGUAAGCGGAAUUCCUAGUGUAACGGUGAAAUGCGUAGAUAUUAGGAGGAACACCAGUGGCGAAGGCGGCUUACUGGACGGCAACUGACGCUGAGGCUCGAAAGCGUGGGGAGCAAACAGG